UACAGAGGGUGCGAGCGUUAAUCGGAAUUACUGGGCGUAAAGGGCGCGUAGGCGGGAAAUCAAGCUGGAUGUGAAAGACCUAGGCUUAACCUUGGGAUGUCAUUCAGGACUGGUUUUCUUGAGUAUAGGAGAGGGGAGUGGAAUUCACAGUGUAGCGGUGAAAUGCGUAAAUAUUGUGAGGAACAUCGAUGGCGAAGGCAGCUCUCUGGCCUAAUACUGACGCUGAGGCGCGAAAGCGUGGGGAGCAAACAGG
rnacentral:rRNA from 1 species